rnacentral:lncRNA from 10 species
UUCCCAAUAUAGACUGGGUCUGGAAAUCCUUUUGUGAGCAUUGAGAGUAGCCUUUCUGGGAAGGUGGGUGCUGGGGAAAGAUCUGUAACUAUUCCGGGAGAUCAACUUGUACCCAGGCUCAUCAGCAGGGCUGGAAGUAGAUGGUGAUUGUGGCCCUGCAUGUGGGUACAUUACUGCAGUCACCUGUACCUGGGAGGUGGCUAAAAUUGCUAAUUGCUUACAUGGAAACACUUUGAUGGCCAUUCUGCUAUAGUGUGAAGCUUCUAUGAGUAAGGUACCAAGGAUUCCCUUUCUCUGAGCAGCAUUGUAAAAAGGCCCUACUUUUCAUCAGAGCAGAAAACCUAACUUUUGCUACUGUGGUCUGGGCCUGACCUCCAGGGACAGCUUCAUCCACACAGGAAGUAGGUAGGUGCUUCUCUAUAGUCUGGACCUUCCCUCAGAGAGAGUCUACUGUCACUUCUUGAGUUCCUUGAAUCUUCCCCAGGAGGGUCCAACUCCCAGGGCUCCUGGGAAGCCUCUGAUCUGACCCCACCAGCCCCACCUCCACCUAGUGAGCUGGUGAGGUGUUGAAAGGGCUUUAAUGGAGGGCCCUGGCUUUUAGCUAGGGGCCUCCUUCCCCGAGGAAGAGUACUGAAAGAAGUGUCCUAGAGAAGUGUUCUCUCCUAAGAGAAGUAUCCUAGGCACAGAACAGAGAGGGGAAACUCGACUGGGAAUUGACUGUGGCACUAUGAGUAUAUGGAGGGUGUUCCUUCUGUUACCUCAUUAGACCCUUUUUAUAUAAGCAGAAAUUGAGGCUUGAAGAAAUUAAGAAAUUCGACUAUGUCCUCAAGGACAGGAGCUGUACAAAAUCCAAUCUGUUCCAUUCUAUUGUCCCUCAGGCUCUUGGCCUCCCUCUGUUAUUGUAGGUUGGCCCCUUUAGGAAAAUCUCAGUUGAAUGUCAUUUCAGUGCUCUCCUUCCUUCUAAAGAAUUAAGCUAGGUCCCUUAGACCAUAGGGCACAUGGGCCUUCUAGCUGGGUCUCUGUUUGCUUACUCAGUGACUUGGGGACGUGUGAAAUCCAGAUGGGAUUCUAUCCUGAGGUGAAGGUAGAAGGUAAUACAGAGAAUUGCUGAAUGGGACAGACCA